GGCGGUUAUAUAAGACAGAUGUGAAAUCCCCGGGCUCAACCUGGGAACUGCAUUUGUGACUGUAUAGCUAGAGUACGGCAGAGGGGGAUGGAAUUCCGCGUGUAGCAGUGAAAUGCGUAGAUAUGUGGAGGAACACCGAUGGCGAAGGCAAUCCCCUGGGCCUGCACUGACGCUCAUGCACGAAAGCGUGGGGAGCAAACAGGAUUAGAUACCCUGGUAGUCUACGCCGUAAACGAUGAUUG
rnacentral:rRNA from 1 species